rnacentral:rRNA from 1 species
CCUACGGGAGGCUGCAGUGGGGAAUAUUGGACAAUGGGGGGAACCCUGAUCCAGCCAUGCCGCGUGUGUGAAGAAGGCCCUCGGGUUGUAAAGCACUUUCAGUGAGGAAGAACGCCUGGUGGUUAAUACCCAUCAGGAAAGACAUCACUCACAGAAGAAGCACCGGCUAACUCCGUGCCAGCAGCCGCGGUAAUACGGAGGGUGCGAGCGUUAAUCGGAAUUACUGGGCGUAAAGCGCGCGUAGGUGGCUUGAUAAGCCGGUUGUGAAAGCCCCGGGCUCAACCUGGGAACGGCAUCCGGAACUGUCAAGCUAGAGUGCAGGAGAGGAAGGUAGAAUUCCCGGUGUAGCGGUGAAAUGCGUAGAGCUCGGGAGGAAUACCAGUGGCGAAGGCGGCCUUCUGGACUGACACUGACACUGAGGUGCGAAAGCGUGGGUAGCAAACAGGAUUAGAUACCCUAGUAGUC